AUGAUCAAAGAGAUAAGGAAGCAAAGCGGCUAUUCAUGGGACGACCGGCAGUGCAGGAUUCUAGCGGAUCCACCACUUUGGAAAAACAUCAUCAUAUCACACCCUAAAGCUGGAAAGUUCAAGACAAAAGCCUUCCCUCUUUUUGAAGCUUUGGGAGAAUUGCAUGAUGGCCAAACUGCAGAAGGGACAUAUAACUUCACCUCUAUCGAGUCAUCACAUUGCUCAACCCAAUCACAUCUCGAGAAUCUUGGAGGAGCUAGCAAGAAUCAAGGAGAAACAUCAGCUGAUGGUGAGAAUCUUGGAGGAGAAAGGGUGCAGAUUGAUGAAGAUGUUGAGGAGAAAUGGAGAAGAGAAAGAACCAAAGAGAAGGAGGGGGCGAAUGGUGAUGUGGCUGCAAUGAUGGAGAAGUACAUGGAAAUAAGGACGAAGCAGGUGGAGGAUGAGAGGAAUAAGCCAAGGGUCGUGGAUGAGUACUCUAUCAAAAACUGCAUUGAUCUGCUGAAAACAAUGGAGAUCACACUUGAAGAAGAAGUCAAGGCUUUCCGAGUCUUCAAGAUCCCUGAGAACCGAGAGAUUUUCAUGAGUGCCAGACCAGAGACUGCUCUUAUGUGGCUGAGAGCUGAAAUGGAAUAA
rnacentral:rRNA from 1 species